rnacentral:rRNA from 1 species
UACGGGGGGGCAAGCGUUGUUCGGAAUUACUGGGCGUAAAGGGCUCGUCGGCGGCCAACUAAGUCAGACGUGAAAUCCCCAGGCUCAACCUGGGAACUGCGUCUGAUACUGGAUGGCUUGAAUCCGGGAGAGGGAUGCAGAAUUCCAGGUGUAGCGGUGAAAUGCGUAGAUAUCUGGAGGAAUACCGGUGGCGAAGGCGGCAUCCUGGACCGGCAUUGACGCUGAGGAGCGAAAGCUAGGGGAGCAAACGGG